GAAGAACACUGCAGUCUGUCUCUGGUUGUUGGAGAGUGGAGGAAAGGCCUAGAGAGAGGCAGGCAUAUCGGGAAUUCGGUGCUGGCAAAAGUGCCAGAUGGAGAGCUCCAGACAGCGACCUCUGCUGAGCCACAGGAAGCAACGCCUCACAGUGUGAAUCACCCGGCCUAGAAGCACCACCUCCUGCAGCGAGAGGCUUAAUUUAGAACCUGACUGUUGACAAGGAAGUGCGUGGCUUGGAAACUCGGGAAGGCUGUAUGGGCAAGGGAGAACCCUGGAGGAGCUACAAGCCUAACUGUGGACAAUCAAAGGGCCCUCUGGAUGAAUGCUAGCAGUCUCGGGAGACUAGUGGCAGGAAAGGAACACACAAGGGAUGCACAGAAAAAUAGCAGGUACUGGGAAGAUACGUGGAGC